rnacentral:rRNA from 1 species
GGAAGUAAAAGUCGUAACAAGGUCUCCGUUGGUGAACCAGCGGAGGGAUCAUUAUAGAGUUUUAUAACUCCCAACCCUUUGUGAACUUACCUAUGUUGCCUCGGCGGGGCCUACCCGGUAGCUCUCCCUUUUGGGAGGACUUACCCUGUAGCCCGCCGGUGGAUUUUCAAACUCUUGUUAUUUUAACUAUAUCUGAGCGUCUUAUUUUAAUAAGUCAAAACUUUCAACAACGGAUCUCUUGGUUCUGGCAUCGAUGAAGAACGCAGCGAAAUGCGAUAAGUAAUGUGAAUUGCAGAAUUCAGUGAAUCAUCGAAUCUUUGAACGCACAUUGCGCCCAUUAGUAUUCUAGUGGGCAUGCCUGUUCGAGCGUCAUUUCAACCCUUAAGCCUAGCUUAGUGUUGGGAGUCUACGAAGUGGUAACUUGUUAUCCUGUAGUUCCCUAAAUCAAACGGCGGAUCUGCAGUAUCCUCUGAGCGUAGUAAAUUUUUAUCUCGCUUUUGUUAGGUGCUGUGGCUCUUGCCGCUAAACCCCCAAUUUUUUAAUGGUUGACCUCGGAUCAGGUAGGAAUACCCGCUGAACUUAAGCAUAUCAAUAAGCGGAGGA